rnacentral:rRNA from 1 species
CAGUCGCCACGGGAAUACGCAGGGGGCUAGCGUUGCUCGGAAUUACUGGGCGUAAAGGGAGCGUAGGCGGGUCGUUUAGUCAGAGGUGAAAUCCCGGGGCUCAACCUCGGAACUGCCUUUGAUACUGGCGACCUUGAGUAUGGGAGAGGUAAGCGGAACUCCGAGUGUAGAGGUGAAAUUCGUAGAUAUUCGGAAGAACACCAGUGGCGAAGGCGGCUUACUGGCCCAUUACUGACGCUGAGGCUCGAAAGCGUGGGGAGCAAACAGGAUUAGAUACCCCCGUAGUCCCUGUCUCUUAUAC